UCUAAGUGAGAUUCAUUCAUUUUAAAUUAUACAGUCGAGAAUGCUUCUACCUCUAUCUUCCAUAAAAUCUUAUUUAAUGAUUAGUACCAAUGGAAAUCAUGCCUAUGAUCACCAAAUAAACUCAUACCAUGUGAUGUGAUGAUCUUUAUCCUUAGAAUUCAUGUACAAGGUCAUCUCUAUGUCAAUUCUUAUUAUCUCACUCUUCGUGCUAACACGAUUCACUUGGCGACAUCAUGAAUGCUC
rnacentral:lncRNA from 1 species